GGGGAUGUAGCUUAGUGGCAGAGUGUGUGCUUAGCAUGCAUGAGGUCCUGGGUUCAAUCCUGGGCACCUCCA
rnacentral:tRNA from 1 species